AUACGUAGGGGGCGAGCGUUGUCCGGAAUGAUUGGGCGUAAAGGGCGCGUAGGCGGCCCGGUAAGUCUGGAGUGAAAGUCCUGUUUUUAAGAUGGGAAUUGCUUUGGAUACUGUCGGGCUUGAGUGCAGGAGAGGUAAGUGGAAUUCCCAGUGUAGCGGUGAAAUGCGUAGAGAUUGGGAGGAACACCAGUGGCGAAGGCGACUUACUGGACUGUAACUGACGCUGAGGCGCGAAAGUGUGGGGGGCAAACAGGAUUAGAUACCCUGGUAGUCCACACUGUAAACGAUGAAUGCUAGGUGUAGGGGGUAUCGACCCCUUCUGUGCCGCAGUCAACACAAUAAGUAAUCCACCUGGGGAGUACGGCCGCAAGGUUGAAACUCAAAUGAAUUGACGGGG
rnacentral:rRNA from 1 species